rnacentral:rRNA from 1 species
UAACACUUUCCACGGAUCUCUUGGUUCAGGCACAUGAAAACGCACAAAUGCGAUAAGUAAUGUGAAUUGAAAUUUGAUCAUCAAUCUUUGAACUCCCAUUGCUCCCCCAUAGGUAUUCCGGGGGACACUGUUCA